rnacentral:lncRNA from 1 species
AAACUGGCUGCAGGAAUGAUACAGUACAAGAUGUUCAAAUUCUGCAGAUCGCCUAACCGCGGGGUUAAGGGCCCUACCAGGUCUCGGUUAUACGACAAGUCCCUGCGAUUUGAAGGUCAAGGUAAGGGUAAUCAAUUAACAUUUGAGCUGAUAUAUUCACCCUUGAAAAAAAGUAGUAAGUGGAAUUGUGGAAAGCUUACAAGGAUCUUAGUUCAGUUAGCCCUCCAAUGUCACCACUCAACUUCCCCUUGAGACCCAUGCUAGACAAACCCCUGCAUCCAAAUCAAGUUUCAAAGGAUCACAGGCAAUGAGAAAAACCCAUCUUAGUCACCAUCAAUCAACACAUCCACUACUCGAAACAAGUUACUAACAAAGCAGAAACUCUUGAGUUUUUGCAGGUGACUCCUUCCCACGAUCCGCAUGGAUCAUCUGACUGUGUCCAGCUGGGCGGAAGGUUCCUCCAUAUCUCUUUUAACGAUUGCAGCGCUGCACCUGCAUUUUGUUCACGAGUACUCGAAUCAUUUCUCGAUGUAAAUGUAUCAAAUCGUCUAUAACCACUCAGUUUUUUUUCACUUACCGUCACGAGGGUCUGUGGCAGAUAAACUGACAUGAACUGCUGCACUGAAGAACAUAACAAAAGUAAGCAAUCCCCUCAUCGUUGCUAUCACACCCGAAUGCAGCUGGGCUAGCUAUCCCCAAAAAUGGUAUUGCUUGAUUUCGUUUCAGAAUCAACUAUACGCUAAGCAAAGGAGAUUGACCAGCAGCUGGAUCUGAUUACGCAGUGGCAUUGUGGAAUUGGCUGCAGUUUGAGAGGCAAACAGAGGAAGCGAAGAGUUAAGAGAAGUAAAAAGAAGGCAAAAGCGGAAAAAGGAAGGUACGUGGUAGUUAAAUUCUGCUAAAAUUUCAUAUAAAUUUGAUCAACUUUACUUGUGCCCAUCAGAUUGAAUGAUGUUAUCUUGUCUUAGAAGCCACUCUAUUGCCCCCCUCCCAUACCAACCACAAGUAUCUAGUAGGAUUAGUUAAGGGAAAAUGGAGCAUCAUGAUUAGAUCUCAUCUGCUAGUUACUACAAACUCAAGUCUUCUAAACCCCACUAACAAUCUUACAUAACAACCUAUGUCAAUGUGCAAUGUGUAAUGAUUCGACAUUUUUUUCAUUGAUAGUGAUAGCGGCGUGAUCAGGAUUUUGGCCAAGUGGGGUCCAUAAAAAAAUUAGUAAUUUUUUUUAAAUCUUCUCCUUUAGUAAUACUCCAUGAGGAAUUCUCAUGUCGAAAAAGGAUUACACAAUUUAUUGAUUACAUGAAAUGCUAACAACAUCUUUCUAUAUAUAGCCACAACCACAUAUUUAAUUAUUUAAUCUCUUAUUUGAUUGUCAAGUAAUCGAAUCAUACGAGUUUUGACUUAUUUUAAGUGGGGUUUAAAGUUCGAUGAUGUGUAGAUCAUCGAACAUCCCCUUUUUAACUUAGUGACACUAUAAUAUCCUUGCAUUUCAAAUACCUAUAUUUCGAAAUACAACCAUCGAUACACACCUGAAAUCUUAUUUCUCCCAUUAUGUACAUAGAUUCUAUGUCUACAAGCAUCACUAUCAUACAAAGCAUCAAAAUAUCAAAUCCAGUUCAUCUGCAGGCAAUGGCUGGCUGAUCAGCAUCAGAUUUCUGAAACGACUCUGAAGUGAGAGAUCUGGAUGUUUUCAACAGCAAACUUCUUGAAGUUGCUGCCUUUCCUGGUAACAAAGAACUUCCCCCAGUUGUAAGGCCUGUACUUUGCAGUAGUCAUGUUCUUCUUCUUACUAGCAUCCACCACCAGUAGCUCCUCCAAUGGCUGAACCACAGUGUAAUGGGAUGGGUUGAAGAAGAACGGAAUCGAGAACCUUUCCCUCUCUGAGUUCACCAUCACUCUGUGCUCCACGCUCUCGUAUGCCUCAUUGCUCCAAACCUGCCAACACGAACGAACUUUUUACGAGCCUGGACACCAAGGUACUUGGUCAACAUCACUUCUAGAUAGUGAGCAAUUUACACCACCAUAGAGGGCUGAAUAUUGUUACCGACGAUAACCACCCCUAAUAUUUAUUCUCUACCAUUAGCAACUGCCUUGUUUUGAAUUUAAAUCGAUAAUAUAUGUUCCCUACUCAUUAUAGUUUCUCGUAUAAAAAAUUUCAGUAUCAUACCUCAAAUAUAUCAUUGUAACCGUUUUCAACCUCACCCCGCACCUUAAAAAUUCCUAAUUAACCAAAAUUUUACCCCAAUUUAACCAGUCAUAAUCAAAUAGAUAACCAUAAUAACAGAUAAAAUCAUGUCCUAAAUAAUAAAAAACCAAUGAAUAAAAA